CUAAAUCCCCUCGUUUACACCGAGACGCUAUCUGUUUGACCCAGAUCAUUUUGAGCCUAAAAUCUAGCCCACACAAAUCUUAUGUAAACCCAAACCCACUGUUUUGUAAUAAAACAUUUUUAUAUUUUAGUACAGGAGAUCGAAAAAUUCCUAAGAGCUUCAGAUAAAGUACCGCAAGGGAAUGAUGAAAUAAAAAUGAAAUAAUUUUAAAGCCCUAAACAGCAAAGAUUAAUCCUUGUACCUUUUGCAUCAUGGUCUAGCUAGUCUUACCAAGCAAAAAGAAAUUUAAGUUUGCCACCCCGAAACUAAGUGAGCUACUUUUAAACAGCCCUAAGGGCCAACCCGUCUCUGUUGCAAAAGAGUGGGAAGAUUUUUAAGUAGAGGCGACAAACCUACCGAACUUAUAGAUAGCUGGUUGUUCAGGAAAAGAGUCUUAGCUCUACCUUAAGUUUUUUAGUUGCAUCCACAAUCUUUCUAGACUUAAGAGCUAUUCAAAUAAGGCACAGCUUAUUUGAAACAGGAUACAACCUCCAACACUGGGUAAAUGAUAGUGAUCCAAGUAAAGUAGGCCUAAGAGCAGCCACCUUUCAAAAAGCGUCAUAGCUUAACCUCUCUCACACCCCCAAUUCAUAAAAACACCCUCAACCCUUCACCAGUACUGAACUAUUUUAUAUUUUUAUAAAAAUAAUUAUGCUAGAACUAGUAACAAGAAAUUGCCCUUCUCCUAAUGCAAGUAUAAAUCUUAAUGACACCCCAAAUGAUAAUUAACGUAAAUACACCAAAUAUAGUAACAUAUAUCUAGAAAACCCUAUAAUCUCAAACGUUAACCUUACACCAGAGCAUUUCAGGAAAGAUUAAAAGAGAAAGAAGGAACUCGGCAAACUUCAGCCCCGCCUGUUUACCAAAAACAUCGCCUCUUGAUUUUUAUAAGAGGUCUAGCCUGCCCAGUGACAAAGUUCAACGGCCGCGGUAACCUAACCGUGCAAAGGUAGCAUAAUCACUUGUUCUCUAAAUAGGGACUUGUAUCAAUGGCAUCACGAGGGCUUCACUGUCUCCUUUCUCUAAUCAGUGAAACUGAUCUUCCCGUGAAGAAGCGGGAAUUUUAUUAUAAGACGAGAAGACCCCAUGGAGCUUUAAGCAAUGUAUUUACCUUAUUAUUUUAUCCACCUAGCAAAAUACCUAAAUACUAGCUUUAGGUUGGGGGGACCGCGGAGUAAAAACUAACCUCCACGACAAAUAGGGCCACGCCCUUAUCUACGAGCCACAACUCUAAGAAUCAAUAAACUGAUGUUUAAUGACCCAACAAUUUGAUUAACGAACCAAGUUACCCUGGGGAUAACAGCGCAAUCUACUUCAAGAGCCCCUAUCGACAAGUAGGUUUACGACCUCGAUGUUGGAUCAGGGUAUCCUAGUGGUGCAGCCGCUAC
rnacentral:rRNA from 1 species